rnacentral:rRNA from 1 species
UACAGAGGUCCCAAGCGUUGUUCGGAUUCAUUGGGCGUAAAGGGUGCGUAGGUGGCGCGGUAAGUCGGGUGUGAAAUUUCGGAGCUUAACUCCGAAACUGCAUUCGAUACUGCCGUGCUUGAGGACUGGAGAGGAGACUGGAAUUUACGGUGUAGCAGUGAAAUGCGUAGAUAUCGUAAGGAAGACCAGUGGCGAAGGCGGGUCUCUGGACAGUUCCUGACGCUGAGGCACGAAGGUCAGGGGAGCAAACGGG